rnacentral:rRNA from 1 species
UAAUCGACCUCAGGUCGGGCGAGAGGACCCGCUGGAUUUAAGCAUAUCACUAAGCGGAGGAAAAGAAA